rnacentral:rRNA from 1 species
UACGUAGGGUGCGAGCGUUACUCGGAAUUACUGGGCGUAAAGCGUGCGCAGGCGGUUUUGUAAGCCAGAUGUGAAAUCCCCGGGCUCAACCUGGGAAUGGCAUUUGGGACUGCAAGGCUGGAGUUUGGCAGAGGAGACUGGAAUUCCCGGUGUAGCAGUGAAAUGCGUAGAUAUCGGGAGGAACACCCGUGGCGAAGGCGGCUCUCUGGAACGCAACUGACGCUGAGACGCGAAAGCGUGGGGAGCGAACCGG